rnacentral:lncRNA from 1 species
CCAAAGGUCCAAAACCAUAAAUGCGCGCACAGAAAGGUUCUAAAAAACCACAAAAGUAAAAAACAAAACCCACUCUGGCCUUCAAACAAAAAAGAGAGCAUCCACAAAUACCAGCCAAAAACAGCUUCCUUCUCCUUGUAAAAGACAAUUCAGAUUUGAGAGGAAAACUCAAGUGCUUUGAAACUAGACAUGGAGAUUCAGAGAACCUUUUCCACUACAAAGCAAACUAUGACAAUCUUUGAUUCGUCUGCAUCCAGCUCCUCCAAUCCCUCUCCACAGACCGCGUUACUGAAGCCGGAACUCCAUCAACCCAAAACCUAGAUCUUUGACUUCUUCGCCCUUCCGCUGCCAGGGUAUGGGCUGCAUCAUUAACAGAACGAGGAACAAAAAGGUAAACUACCUUUUCAAAAUAAUGUUCUAAAUCUCGAAUGUGAUGGAUAAUAGGUCUGAGGAUCGAUUAAUCUUCUACCCUUACUUGCAGCUUUUUGAUAACUGUCAAAGAAUCCCCUUCUACGACCAGGAACCGGAACCCCAUCAUUCGUGCGAACAGUAACGACCUUUCACAUGCCCGUGCUUCAGCAAUGAACGCAUCAGCAACAUCCUCUAUCAGAUAAGUUUCGGCUCCUCUAAUUUCACCUCUAGAAUCUCUGGCUAAAACUGCUAUGUAGAAGUUCUAGAAUCUCUUUGAAAGGUAGCGUCAAAAUUAAUCUUGAUGAAACCCAAAACUGGAGGCCUCCAAUACCCUUUUCUCUGAAAACCAUCAGAACCAUCGAGUUUCUCUUUGCAAAGAUUUACUUCCUGAACAUAACCACGAAUAAACCCAAGCACUUCCUGCAAAGAAAAUUUGGUACCUUCAUGAAUCAAUUGAUUUCUCCUAUACCACAUGGUCCAAAUAGAAAUUGCAAUAAUUUGUUUACUUUGAUCAUCUGCUGCAAUAAAAGUUUUGACAAAGUGAAUCUUAUAGUUGGAGGUGUUAUCAACAGGAGGAGUUUUUUAAAAUAUACAUUUAUAAUCUAAAUUUAUUAUUAAAUAUUUUUAUCAUUAUAAUUAAAAUUUUAUCAAUACAUUUUAUACCCAAAUUUUAAUGGUAAAAACAUCUUUUUAAUCUUUCUCAAUUUUAAAAUUGAGCAAAUUAAUCACUAUAAAAGAUUUGGAAUAAUUUAGUCCCUGUCAAUUUCGAAAUUGAGUAACUAAGGAUAAUAAUUAAGAGUAUUAACAUUUUCUGUCCAAAAAUUUGACAUGAAAAAUUAAAAAAAGAAGAGAAAUAAAAAUAAAAUGUACACUUGUUGCGUUAUCAUUAGACCAUUUAAUCUAAAGUUUGCACAUAUAUUUUUACAUGGGUAAACUACUGAAAUAGUCAUUUUUGUUUGUUUUAGGUUAUAUUUUAGCCACUUAUGUUUGAAACGUUACGUUUUAGUCACUUACGUUAUCAUGUUGUAACAUUUUAGUUACAGAGCAUUAAUUUAACGGUGUAACGGUAAGUUGACAUAGCAUGUUAAAUCAUCAUUUCAAAUGAAAAUUUUAGGUUAAAUUAUACAAUUGGUUCCUAUAUUUUUUUUGUUUUGAGCAAUUUAAUUUUUUCUUUUAUUUUCCAUUCUCUUAUCAUCCCUCUAUUUUCUUUCAUUCUCCAUUUCUUUUACGUAGUUUUUAUAUAUUUUCCAUUCCUUAAAACUUGUCCCUAUACUUUUAAUUUUUUUUAUUUCAUUUUUUUCCUUUUCUUCUUCCCUUUUAUUUGUCUAUCUUCUCAUAUUUUUCACUGCAGAAACAUAAUCUUUACCUACCAAAUAAACCAAGUUUUUGUUUCUUUCACAUGAUUCUUAAAUUAAAGUUCACUCAGAACCGAAUAUCAAUCAUUCUUAAUCAAAUCUUUAUUUGAAUAUAACCUAAUUUUGAAAUUAAAAUUGGAUCUAACUAAUCAAUAUAAAAAAUUAUAUCCUUAAUCAAAUCUAAACAUAAAUUGAAUUCUUUAUAUUCAAAACAAUUUUUUUUUCUAUUUUCGAACUUUUAUAGAAUUGUGUAGAUUAUUCAUUUUAUUUUAUUUUAUUUUUUGACGAAUAAAAUUAGACAAACGAUAAAAUUGAUCUAAACCUCUUAGGUAUUCCCAAGCAAGCUUUGGAAGCCAAGCAUGGAUGAACUGAAGAGAGAAAGGGAACAUGGAACCAAAUUGGUUUGGGUAAAGUUGAAGGUAAGUUUCAUAUAAUGGUCGUUUUAGCCAUUGAGAGUGUAGAGCUCAUUUUAAGAAUCCAUGAAAUAUCGUACUUUCGAGAGGGCGAGAAUGUAGUAAGUAAGAUAGAUAAGGUGGUCAUGGGGGUUGGUUAGGAGGUCAAGGGAACGGGCUUGGGAAACUUUGUUGAGGGUGGACUACCGUAAGUACAAUUGGCGAGGUCUUCGAGUGAGAUGACUUGUGGGCUAGGUCAUUGAGAGAUCUAAAUUAGUUCGUUAAAAUGAUGAUGGAUAAUAAAGGUUUGUAAUUGUUGAGUGAGAAUAAAUGAAGCAAGAUUUAUUUUGGUUUCAGCUUUCGUCUUUUCUUUUUUCAUAAACAUAAAAAUGUUUUAACAAAUAGAAAAUAUAGAAAAAAAACUACAUUAAAAGAGAUGGAUAAAGGAGGAAAACAGAAGGAGAAGCAAAGGAGAAUUAAAAAGAAAAGAAAAGAAAAGUUAAAAGAAUAUAAAAUAAAAAAAUUAAAUUACUCAAAACAGAAAAAUAUGAGGACCAAUUGUAUAAUUUAACUUAAAAUUUUUGUUUGAAAUGAUGAUUUAACAUGUUACGUCAGCUUAUCAUUAUACCGUUAACAAUAAUUAACGGAUUAGUGACUAAGAUGUUACAACAUAUUAACGUAAUAUUUCAAACAUAAAUAACUAAAAUAUAACAUGAGAUAAACAAAAGCCAUAUAACAUGAGAUAAACAAAAGCCCUCCCAUAGUUGAAGUCUGAUCAGAACGUGAUUGCUUUUGUUUUGGUCUUUAAAGCCAUGGUUUUGUCUUUGCCCAUUUGUGGUUAAAACUCAUCUUCGGGAUAUAAAGCAAAUUAGUAUCCUCUUGAAAAUCAAAGGCAACGUGAUAUAAAGCAAUUCAAAAUCAGUAUGCUUUUUCCUGGGUUGAUUCAUUGGGUUUGGGUGAUUUUUUUUUUUUAAGGUUUUAUUAUGUGUGAAUGUGUAAACUUUAGAUUAAAAGGUCCAAUAAUAACUCAACAUGUGUACAUUUUAUUUUUAAUAUAUAUUUAUUUAUUUUUUCAAUUUGUCAACUCAAAUUUUUAGACCCAGAUUAUCAAUCUCAUUAAUUAUUGUUCUUACUUGUUUAAUUUCGAAAUUUAGAGGGACUAAAGAAAUUUUUUUACCAGUCCUAAUUAUACAAUUUGCUAAAUUCACGUCCCUCAUUUUUCGAGUAUUCUUUUUCAACCUCCUACUUUUAUUUUGAAAGGUAUGUAAUUUCUUUAACUUAGAAAGAUUUAUUAUUAUUUUUAUUACUAAUACUUUUUUUCUUUCAAAAUUUUACUUGCAAUAAAAUGAUUUCAUUCACUUAUAAUAUCAAUCAUAAAAAUUAAAUUUAUAUAAAAUUUAUUUAAAUAUGCAGUAAUUAAAUUUUAUUUUAUUUCUAGUUUCUUAUCCCG